UUCGAAAAGCUGUGACGUUAUAGUAUCCAAGCCAGGCGUGAGACCAGUCCAUUGCCUACUUGAAGUUUAAACAACGGAAAGGACAAGUUUGCUUUAUACACUGAUGUCGGAGCUUGGAGAAAUUCACUUGACUACAUUACCCAGCUCAGGCAGUCUGCAAUACUCAAAGAAUGUCCACGACUAAGAUGUUGAACCAGAUGGCCUACAUCCAGAACUGACGCAUGGAGUUCAAAACUACAUGGAUAAAGGCAGCUACGUUCGAUUCGGCUUAAGGUCACCAUAGUUAGCCCAGACAGCCCUCCGGCACUUUGUCAGAGGACAGAUCAUCUGAGAUGUGAUUGAGAGUCAUGAGGUAACCGCUGUGCAAAUAUUUGGCUCGGAUCUGACAAACCGCAAAAAGUUUGCCUUUUAAAGAGUGUGGCAUAUCAUUCCAACAAGAUGUGCAUUGCCCCAUCACCUUUGUCCAGCCACCUGGCAGAUUCCCUGCGGAGUAGUUGUGUGCUAACUUCUCGGGUUCCAUCACCAAUGAUGGCUUCCCCAAGGCUACAACUACAUACAGAAGAUGAUAGUCAACAUUCAGCUUGUGAUGUAAGAAACGGGCAUUCAGCCGGCGAAUAUAAACCAGCACACCUUAACUGCUUGGUAGUUUUCAUGUGCAGUGCUCAUGGAAAGUGCAGGGAGAGGAUCUUGCUGGAACAGGUGCUCACCCUUCAGUUGGCUCGAUUGGUAGCGCCCAAGUCACUGCCAGCGCCCAUGAAAAGGCCAGAUGCCCUGGAGAUGGGAACCACUGACACAUGAUCAGUUCCCCAUCUAGAGCAGCACUAAAGGCGACCUCCAUAAAGCCUACUUUCUGGAAUACAUCUGUGUGCAGAGCUUGUACAUCAAGUUGAAGACUUACAAUUCAUCUCAUUGACAGUGAUACAACAUUUAAACAAAACCGUUUUAUGACUGAAAAAUCUAAAUAAAAACAAAAUAUGUUGUUGCCUUAUACCAGUGUCAUGGCACACUGGUCGCUUUACUAUAUGCUGCAAUAAAUUGCUUCUUUUCAAGGAUGAGGCUUUGUUGACUGCUUUAAUAAAUAUAUAAUGUAAAAUUACCUGCUCAACUAUGAAAUUAUAUGAAUCAAAUAUUGUGUACAACUACUGCUUGCCUCAUUAAAAAAACACAAUAUGAAGCUUCAUUACUAAAUGUGUCCGCAAAAUUUUAUUCCCGAUUCUGAUCAGUGACUCCUUUGUGUAGCUUAUGUUUAACGACUGUUCAGUUUAGUUGCUUUUUUGACCAAGUUAGUUAUUUAUCAAAUACAGUGUACUUUUCUAAUCAUUUUGCUCUAUGUUGUAUAAAGUUACUGUUCAAAAUGAAUCAGAUAUCUAAGAUGAGUAUUGUCUAAUCUUUUUUAAUUAAAAUCACUUGUCAUAAAUAUAAC